UCUCUUUUCUUCUUUAUCAGCAGCAUUGUCACUAACCUUCUACUUUUGCUUGAAAACUUCUUUUUGUUUCCUCCAGGAAAUGAAGUCCUAGCUCAUCUUACAGUCUUUUCCUGCCUUCAGAAGCCUUGUUCCAAUUCUAAAAGAAAGUAAUCAUUAUGGUUAGCCUGUUAAUGCAACAACAUGCUGAAAUAUGGUUUCUUAUGAAGGACACUAACCUAGACAAAGUAUACAGCACCAUUUAUGAACUGCACAGUUUAGAAAAUUUAGAAAAAGCAAGUUCAAUAUCGAUCUGAGAUCAACAUAUGAUUGAAGUCUUAACUUGACUGUGACACUAUAACAUUACAAGUUCGUUUGCAUGAAUC
rnacentral:lncRNA from 1 species